AUACGGGGGGCAGCAGUGGGGAAUAUUGCACAAUGGGCGCAAGCCUGAUGCAGCAACGCCGCGUGAGGGAUGAAGGCCUUCGGGUUGUAAACCUCUUUUAGCAGGGAAGAAGCGAAAGUGACGGUACCUGCAGAAAAAGCACCGGCUAACUACGUGCCAGCAGCCGCGGGAAUACGUAGGGUGCAAGCGUUGUCCGGAAUUAUUGGGCGUAAAGAGCUCGUAGGCGGUUUGUCACGUCUGCUGUGAAAAUCCAAGGCUCAACCUUGGACUUGCAGUGGGUACGGGCAGGCUAGAGUGCGGUAGGGGAGAUGGGAAUUCCUGGUGUAGCGGUGGAAUGCGCAGAUAUCAGGAGGAACACCAAUGGCGAAGGCACAUCUCUGGGCCGUAACUGACGCUGAGGAGCGAAAGCGUGGGGAGCGAACAGGAUUAGAUACCCCAGUAGUC
rnacentral:rRNA from 1 species